ACUUUCUGUUCAUGUCAAAUAUUCUUCACUGCUGCAUUAUGUCUUUAGAAGUGCUAAAGAUUUAUGCUGGGCUAUUUAGAGAGAUUUAUUAUAUGCAGCUGUUGUAAAUAGUUUUAAUAAUUUUUCUGUGUAUAAUGAAAUGAAAAGUCUUUUGUAACUGAUGUUUGGUGUGUGUAGAUAGUGGGAUCCCGGGAUUGCUAGUGUGCUAUUUUCUGUUUGCUAAAUUAUACGUGUACCCUGUAAUGUCUGUUUCGAGUCCUAAAUAAGUAUCGGCAUUUGUGCUGAGUACUGCUGCUGUGUCUCUGGAGGAAACCCAUUAGCCACAAGUCAGUAACUCCUCGGUACAGAUAAAGUGCAAGAAGUUGAACGAGGGAUCACAGAUCAGUGAAGCUAACAGAAAAAAGCUUGAUUUGUACAUAUUUUCAUUGUCAACUGAUGACUACAGAAAAUAAAACGAAUUUUGCUUUGAAACUGCAAGUCUUGAAGCCACUGACAGGACUUCUUUUGGUGUCAUACAGAUGACUGUUGUACGAGAAGUGUGAUUGUUGCAUGAUAUACAGCAAGAAUGUGUCUAUAAGAAAAAUCUCACCUGUCUAAACCAUGAGUGCCAUAACGUGAGCCUUUGCAGAAAAGGUGCAAUCAUCAAAAUACCUUGGAGUUUACAUCCUUUUGCACACUUUUAUGAAAACACCUUGGAAAACUGGCUAACAGUUUCUCAAGACAGCUUGAUCUUUGCUGUCUGCAGGAAUGCUGGGCUCAGAUGCUGGGAAAACUGUAAGGACUAGACUCUAAUACCAGCUAUGUGGCAUAGGCCACAAAACCCUUCAUGAAAGUAAAGAUGGCAGGCCCCACUGGAUACGCCAUCUUUUUCACUUUCCUCCUGAUUAUCUGCACCAGUGGCCCAGGUUCAUUCCCAAAUUUGGAUCACCAGCACAGUGAAUGGAUACCUAUUCUGUGUGCCACAAGAAGACCUGUACCCCAGUCUGCAUGUAUCAAAUUAAUGGCUGCUACUGUUGGAAGGAGCAGACCCCAACUGUUUUCAUGCUGUUUUAUAAACAAUGGUUUCAAGAUUUCAGUCCUUGAUUGGGAACCAGGCUUAAUUGUAGAUGUGAACCCUGUUCUUUCUGUGCUUAUGGAACUGAAGCAUUCAUUUUCAUAUUUCACAGAGUUAAACUUUAACUGAGUGGUUGUGCCUCAUUUUCCUUUGCUCCUCUUUUAUGAUUGUCAUCCACUGAAGCUUAAGCUAUAGAAAUUGUCACCUGAAAGAAGUUACUGCUUCAUUUUAGUGAAAGAGCUGAAUGUAACUCAUUACCCUGUUUACCUAAACCAUUCUUGUACAUUCAUUUUUCUCUUUGGUUGUGGCUUUCAUUUGUUAGUUUGUAAAUGAUGGUGCCAGGACUUCAGAUCGCUAAAUUUACGCGUUAAUAUUAUGUCGUAUCAUCUUUAGUUGCAGUUUGCUAUGGUAACAUGACUUGAUUUCAGCUGUACAAAUUAGUGUUGGACUUUUACUUGAUUAUCUUUUCAUAAGUUAUUCUAGUUAUUUAUAUUUUGUUAUUAAUUUUGCAUUAAUAUUUUCUGUGUGCUUGAUCUCAGCAAUAUUAUUUGUUUGGUAGGUUUAUCACUAU